rnacentral:lncRNA from 1 species
UUUAUUAGCCAGUCGGAGUAUGAUGAUUUCUCCAUGCUUUCUUUGAAACUAUCAGAGCACCAAGGAUAUAUUGAGCACUGCCAGGAGCCGUGGAGAUACAAAAUUGAGAACUGUUCAAAUUAGUAUUGGCAAGGAAAAUUUUCCUGGAGGAUGUCUGAUUUGUCGCUUGGCAAGUGAUAACUGAAAUUAUGUGGAUGGAUGCAAGCAUACUAGGGCAAGGUUUUCAAGCUGCCUUAUGUGGAACCCUGGAUUUCAUGAGAUGUUAAAUGAGUAUACUACAGCAAGAAUAAUCAUCACUCUA